ACUGCAACACCGUCUCUGUUUCCCGUUACUACAUCUGGUGACCCCGACGUGAUCCAGACACAAGACCCCCGACUCAUCGGCUGGCAUAGCCUUGGUGCACCUCAGCGCAGUGCGCUCCCUCAUUGCUGCAGUAUUACAACACAUUCGAACCCACAAGCCGACCCUUUUUAUCUAGAGCCCAGCGCCAUUAUAGACAGACCGAGCCCCUUCCGGCGCCGAAGGUGAUAUAUCGCAAGUUGCCAGGACCAGAGUGGAGCCUGCCUGUGCCACUCAUCACCUGGGGCCGGGGCUACGCAGCAGUGUCAACUGAAACCGGCCCUGUAUGGGUUCCCGCUCGCUUUGUGAAGCCGUGGAGAGAUGGCCUGGCAUCAGGGGCUAAAGAAUCCCAUUCCGGACUUCAGUCUAACCCUGACGGAUAGGGUGGACAAGAUUGACAAGGCCCGAAAGCGUGGCACACCUAACACUGCCAUAACUUGGGGGCAGGUCAAAGCUUUAUCACGGCAGGCUGAACAUGUAUUAGAGCGGCUAUAGAUUAUUUACUUAUGCUGCAUCAUUAUGGAUGUGAAAAGGUUAAUGAUAUGUGUUGCUUUAAUAUUUCUGAUCAUCAUCAUUCAGUUGAAAAUCAACUCAAGAUAAUUAAAAAUUUAACAGAUCAAAUCAGAUACAAUCCAGACCCCUUCUCGGGAUGGUGGGAUUGGCUCUCC